GCUCCACUCGAGCGAACAGUGUCACUAGGUUCAAUAUAUUAUCUAGGCGACUUCACCGCGCCAAGUGUUAGUCGAUGAAAGUACCACCUGUGCGCGGGAAAGUUACUUUUCGUGGCGGCUGUACAGACUACAUGCCUUCUUGUCAUACCACAUCACCGAAGAGGUCUUUCUCCUAGACAGAUGACCGUAAGGAUGCACGCAAAAUUUUUCUUCUUUGUUUAUGUGACCAGCGCUAUCCUUCACUACUCUCGUCCCACUCAGACGUUACGGCAAUUAACAGGCGAAGGAAUUUCCAGUGAAUACAAAUGAAUGCGGAGUGUCCGAACCAUUAGGAAGAGUGGUAAAUGGGAGGUAUAUAACACAUUCCCAUGUUCCCUGGGUGGUCUUCCUUAGUAGGGUAUACCAUGGAUAUCUGCGAUACUGUACUGGAAGCAUAAUAACAAAGGACGUCAUUGUAACAGCGGCUCACUGUGUUGAGUCAAGAGGCGACACAAUUCUAAAGAUGCACGUUUUCUACAAUACCUCGGUUCCUAAAGGAGGUACAUGCGUGACUGUGGAACGAGGGAUUAUUCACCAAAAGUAUGUAAGACCUGAACGAGGAUACGACAUUGCCCUAAUAAAGCUUGUCAAACCACUUCCGGGUUUCAGCAGAUUUGUGAGACCUGUUUGUCUCCCUCGUGCAAGCUCGAAGACCCCACCUCGUUCGUUGCUUGUGGUUGGAUUUGGCGCUAUCGAUUUCAAUCAUACCCAAUCGAAGCACCUGCAGUACUACGCAACAACGGCUCUAUCAGAUGAAAAGUGUGAUGUUGCGCUGAAGCAUGGAGGAAUGCAUGCGACUAGUGCCCGCGUAAUCUGUGGAACAAGUAGACACCAGAGAGCAUGGAAGGGUGAUUCCGGAGGACCGCUAACGGCUAUAUCGAAGAGCGGGAAGUCAACUCUGUAUGGAAUGGUGUCCUUUGGGUCUGGAAAAAGCAAUGCACGUGGCCCGACGGUCCAUACGCGCGUUUCCGUAUUUGUUACCUGGAUACGGGAGUCGCUGAAGAAUAUACGGAGCUGGAAACCCGUCGUUGCCCAGCUCGCUGCAGAAGCAGACCACUCUUGCACGUGGUAAGGUCUUCGCGAUCCAAGACGUCUCGUUUAUUAAAACGUUGCUCACCGACUUCGCA